CGCGGCGGUGGACCGGUACGGCGUGGCCGGGUUCGGUUCCCGGCUGAUUCUGUUCCCUUCGGAGCGCCGUGA
rnacentral:tRNA from 1 species